AAAAUUGAUUGUUUAGCUCAAUAAGGCUGCGAUAGUGCUGCAGUCGUCCCUGUCUUUUUCCUUGAAGUGAAUUUCAUGAUUGCUCUAUUGAUACUUUACUGAGCGUUAGUCCAACGUUGUGAAACUUGCAACGUCGCUCUUUGGUUGAAAAUUGGGCGAAACGUGCGUCUGUUAACUUUGUUCGCCUUCUGUCGAACUUCAAAAACGCGGUUAUAACAUGAAAAGAAGGUCCAUAUUCUUCUUACCGUUUCCAACGUACAGAGAGCCGUAAUGCGGACUAUUCGUCUUGUGGUAAAACAUCAUUCCAGGCCAAUAGAGACUGUGCAAUAGAGCCAAACGACCUCCUUGGGCAAACUGAAGAUUCCAGCAUUCUGAAAAUUAAAUUUUAUCAAAAACAUCGAUUUUACUAAAGCGACGGCAUUGAUCGUUAUUUAUACACGUACCCGGGGGCACAUCUUCCGCGAUAGUAUCCAAAAAGUCCAACGCCAAGUUGUAAUCCUGCCUCGUGAGCAAAUUGGCGUUCCACUUAUUUUGCGCCGGUCUCGCGUGCAAAUAAGACUUUAAUUGCCUCGACUCGCUCGACUCCAACCCUUCGAAACUCGUGUUCAGAACGAUUUUGCCGUCGGUGGUCUUGAACCAGGCACCUCUGGGUACCACUGCUGCCUCGUGAUUUAUAAGGAAUACAGUGGCCGACAGUCGAUCCUCUUCUUUCAGGUGUUUUACGAUUGGUUCCUUCAACGAUCGAGCUGCUAUAUAACUCAUGAUUGGAAAAAAAAAAUAAAAAAUGAUAAGAAAAAUUAUUUUUAAUUCACGUCUGCGUAACGGAGAGGAUCAUCUUUAGCUGGGUACGGAGGGUUAGCGUCGUAGACAUUUUCGACUAAGGAUGGAUCACCUCGAAAAUCGUUGAUUGCUAAAGGAGUUAGCAAAAUUGCACAUUUUUUCGGCUCUGGCAUCAGUAGCCAAUUCAGGCAAUCAGUGCUGU